GGGGGAUCCGUCCCCCUCCGAGAUCGUAUCACCACCCUUCUUUACCGUACCUGACUUCUUCCUCGGUGGGGCGACCCGCCGACGGAACGUUCGAAACCCUUUUUUUUAUACAAGCAGUACCGUUCCGAUGAAAAAUACAAUCGUUACAAUCUUCAACAAUGGAUCUCUUGGCUCUGGGAUCGAUGAAGAACGCAUCGAAAUGCGAUAAGUAUUGUGAAUUGCAUAAUCCAGUGAAUCAUCCAAUCUUUGAACGCACAUUGCGCCCCUCGGAAUUCCGUGGGGCAUGCCUGUUCGAGCGUCAUUUCAAGGGUCAGGCUCUGCUUGGUGUUGGGCGUCUGUCCGCGCACUUCUGCGCCAGGACUCGCCCCAAAGUCAUUGGCAGCCCAGGCCGUCCGACCCGUCCGCAGCACAUUGCGUCGGCGGGUUCGAACGCGGCCUCCGCGUCCAGCAAGCUCUUCCGGCGAGUGAAGCGGCAACAGCUCAAAUUUGAAAUCUGGCCUCCUCUGGGGGUCCGAGUUGUAAUUUGCAGAGGGUGCUUUGGCAUCGGCGGCGGUCUAAGUUCCUUGGAACAGGACAUCGCAGAGGGUGAGAAUCCCGUACGUGGGCGCCUGCCUUUGCCGUGUAAAGCCCCUUCGACGAGUCGAGUUGUUUGGGAAUGCAGCUCUAAAUGGGAGGUAAAUUUCUUCUAAAGCUAAAUACCGGCCAGAGACCGAUAGCGCACAAGUAGAGUGAUCGAAAGAUGAAAAGUACUUUGGAAAGAGAGUAAAAUAGCACGUGAAAUUGUUGUAGAGGAAGCGCUUGCAGCCAGACUUCCCCGUAGUUGCUCACCCGGGCCCCGUGCCCGGGGCACUCUUCUGCGGGGAGGCCAGCAUCAGUUUGGGCGGUCGGAUAAAGGCCUCUGUCACGUAUCUCCCUUCGGGGUGACCUUAUAGGGGAGGCGUAAUGCGACCAGCCCGGACUGAGGUCCGCGCAUCUGCCAGGAUGCUGGCGUAAUGGCUGUAAGCGGCCCGUCUUGAAACACGGACCAAGGAGUCUAACAUCUAUGCGAGUGUUUGGGUGUCAAGCCCGGGCGCGCAAUGAAAGUGAACGGAGGUGGGAACCCUUUGGGUGCACCAUCGACCGAUCCUGAAGUCUUCGGAUGGAUUUGAGUAAGAGCAUA
rnacentral:sRNA from 1 species